rnacentral:rRNA from 1 species
AGGUCAAGCUAUUAAGAGCAUAGGGUGAAUGCCUUGGCACCAGGAGCCGAUGAAGGACGUGGUAAGCUGCGAAAAGCUACGGUUAGGCGCAAACAGCCUUUGACCCGUAGAUAUCCGAAUGGGGGAACCCACCUAAGGUAAAUACUUAGGUACGUACACAUAAAUACAUAGUGUGUGCGGGGGAGACGUGGGGAACUGAAACAUCUAAGUACCCACAGGAGUAGAAAACAAAAGUGAUUCCGUAAGUAGUGGCGAGCGAACGCGGAAGAGCCCAAACCGUUCUAGAGAACAGAGACCAGAAGACAGAGAACAGAGCAUGAGGAGAGCUUUGAAGCAAGGCUGAAUCUGUUAGAGGCAACUGUUUUCAUAUAGAAAGCGGAAGUUGUGAGACGAGAUAAUGAAAGCUGCGAAGAGUAGCUGCAAUCUGUUCUCUGACAGUCUGUUUUCUGUUCUCUAGAACGGGGUUGAGGACCGGCAUAAUGAUUCUUACGAGCUAGCGGAAUGAGGCGAUGGAAAGCGCCGACCAUAGAGGGUAAAAGUCCCGUACGCGAAAGCAAGUGAGGCAGGCCGGGAUCCAGAGUACCACGAGGCACGUGAAACCUAGUGGGAAACCGGGAGGACCACCUCCCAAGGCUAAAUACUACCUGGUGACCGAUAGAGGAGAAGUACCGUGAGGGAAAGGUGAAAAGAACCCCGGGAGGGGAGUGAAAGAGAACCUGAAACCCUAUGUUUACAAGCAGUUGAAGAGCGUUAAGGCUCGACAGCGUACUUUUUGUAGAACGGUCCGGCGAGUUAUUGUAUGUGGCGAGGUUAAGUACUAUAAGGUACGGAGCCGAAGGGAAACCGAGUCUUAACAGGGCGAAUAAGUCACAUGUAAUAGACCCGAAACCGGGUGAUCUACCCAUGGACAGGGUGAAGCGGAAGUAAAAUUUCGUGGAGGCCCGAACCACAUGACCGUUGAAAAGGUCUGGGAUGAGCUGUGGGUGGCGGAGAAAUUCCAAUCGAACUCGGAGAUAGCUGGUUCUCCCCGAAAUAGCUUUAGGGCUAGCCUCAAGGGAGUCUAACGGAGGUAAAGCACUGAAUGGGCUAGGGGCCUUACCGGGUUACCGAACCCUAUCAAACUCUGAAUGCCGUAUAGACGAUCCUUGGGAGUCAGACUGCGGGAGAUAAGUUUCGUAGUCAAAAGGGAAACAGCCCAGACCAUCAGCUAAGGUCCCAAAAUCGCAGUUAAGUGGGAAAGGAUGUGGGUUUGCUAAGACAACUAGGAUGUUGGCUUAGAAGCAGCCACUCAUUCAAAGAGUGCGUAAUAGCUCACUAGUCGAGUGAGCCUGCGCCGAAAAUUACCGGGGCUAAAACUGUGUACCGAAGCUAUGGGUGCUAGAGAACAGGGAACAGAGGUCAGAGAACAGAAAAGGCAGGGAAUGAAAUGAUAGAGAGUUUUAGAGACUUGAAAGUAUAUCAGAGGGCAUAUACAGCAUCUUUGAGAAUACAUGAAAUAUCAUUAAAGUUACCUGAACAUGAAAAGCAUGAAUUAGGAAGCCAGAUAAGAAGAGCAAGUAAAUCCAUUACUAUGAAUAUUGCGGAAGGAUAUGCAAGAAAUAGUUCAUUACAGGAUUUCAAAAGGUUCUUAAUAAUGGCACUUGGCUCAUGUGAAGAGGUAAGAGUACAAAUAGAUUACCUUAAAGACCUCAAAUAUAUCCCUGAAAGCAUACACAGUGAACUGGAACAGGAAUAUAUAGAAAUAGGUAAAAUGCUUGUAGCAAUGAUAAACAAAUGGAAAUAAUCUGCUACGAAGAGAAGCAUAACCCCUGUUCUCUGGAUUCUGUUCUCUGUUUUCUGGCACGGUAGGGGAGCUUACUGUAGUAGGCAGAAGCAUUACCGUAAGGAGAUGUGGACGAAGCAGUAGUGAGAAUGCCGGAAUAAGUAGCGAGAGUGAAGUGAGAAACUUUACCGUCGAAAGCCUAAGGUUUCCUGGGGAAGGUUCGUCCGCCCAGGGUAAGUCGGGACCUAAGCCGAGGCAGGAAUGCGUAGGUGAUGGACGACAGGUUGAAAUUCCUGUACUACCGUUACUCGAUAAAAGAGAAGUGGGGACGCAGGGGGAUAAGUUAAGCGAGCGACUGGAAGAGCUCGUCCAAGGGAGGUAGAAAGUCUGGUAGGCAAAUCCGCCGGAUGAUUCGAAGGCCUGAUGGGGAGGGAAAUUAGAGUACUGAAGUAACUGAUUCCGCACUGACGAGAAAAGCCACUAUCGAGAGUAAAGGUACCCGUACCGCAAACCGACACAGGUAGGUGAGGAGAGAAUCCUAAGACGAGCGGGAGAAGCGUUGUUAAGGAACUCGGCAAAUUGACCCCGUAAGUUCGCGAGAAGGGGUGCCGGGGCGCACGGUAGUGCGCCAGAGAACAGAGAACAGAAACCAGAGAACAGAGAAACUGUUAGAUGGACUGAAGGAAGUGAACUGACGUAGUAUCGUGCGUUCCGGCCGCAGAGAAUAGGCCCAAGCAACUGUUUAUCAAAAACACAGGUCUCUGCUAAAUCGAAAGAUGACGUAUAGGGGCUGACGCCUGCCCGGUGCUGGAAGGUUACGGGGAUUUGUAAACCGCGAGGUGAAGCAAUGAACUUAAGCCCCAGUAAACGGCGGCCGUAACUAUAACGGUCCUAAGGUAGCGAAAUUCCUUGUCAGGUAAGUUCUGACCCGCACGAAUGGCGUAAUGACUUGGGCACUGUCUCAACAACGUACCCGGUGAAAUUGUAGUACUUGUGAAGAUGCAAGUUACCCGCGACCAGACGGAAAGACCCCAUGGAGCUUUACUGCAGCCUGAUACUGGGUUUCGGUAUUCUUUGUACAGGAUAGGUGGGAGGCUAAGAUACCAGGGCGCCAGCCUUGGAGGAGCCGACGUUGGGAUACCACUCUAAGAGUACUGGAACUCUAACCUUAGUCCAUGAACUGGAUUGGGGACACUGUCAGGUGGGCAGUUUGACUGGGGCGGUCGCCUCCCAAAGAGUAACGGAGGCGUCCAAAGGUUACCUCAGCGCGGUUGGAAAUCGCGCAUUGAGUGCAAAGGCAUAAGGUAGCCUGACUGCGAGACAAACAAGUCGAGCAGGUACGAAAGUAGGGCUUAGUGAUCCGGCGGUAUGAAAGUGGAAUUGCCGUCGCUCAACGGAUAAAAGCUACCCUGGGGAUAACAGGCUUAUCUCCCCCAAGAGUCCAUAUCGACGGGGAGGUUUGGCACCUCGAUGUCGGCUCAUCGCAUCCUGGAGCUGAAGUAGGUUCCAAGGGUUUGGCUGUUCGCCAAUUAAAGCGGUACGCGAGCUGGGUUCAGAACGUCGUGAGACAGUUCGGUCCCUAUCUGUCGCGGGCGCA